rnacentral:rRNA from 1 species
UACGGAGGGGACUAGCGUUGUUCGGAAUUACUGGGCGUAAAGGGCGCGUAGGCGGCCAGCGCAAGUCAGUUGUGAAAUCUCCGGGCUUAACUCGGAACGGUCAACUGAUACUGCGCGGCUAGAGUGCAGAAGGGGCAACUGGAAUUCUCGGUGUAGCGGUGAAAUGCGUAGAUAUCGAGAGGAACACCUGCGGCGAAGGCGGGUUGCUGGGCUGACACUGACGCUGAUGCGCGAAAGCCAGGGGAGCGAACGGG